rnacentral:lncRNA from 1 species
UUAUCAAUAACUACUUUUUUAAAAAAGAAUUGACCCAAAUUAUUUACUUUUUAAGUACUCCUAAUGAAAAUAUACUUAAAAAAUUAAACUUUCUUAUCAAUAAUUUUUUUUAAAAAAAUAUUCUAAAUAUUUUAUAUUUUAAGUGCUCAUAAUUUAAACAUACUUAAAAAAUAAGCUUUGUUAUCAAUUUUUUUUUUAAAAAAAAGAGAAUGUAAUUUAUUUAAUGGAUGUAUUGAAAAAACAAUUUAAAAAUUUUAAAUUAAAGGAUAAUCUUGUUAUUUUUACAUAAAAAUCAGCUCCCAUAAAAUUUUAGUUGGAAAAUUGUAAGCAUGUAGAAAAUUUUUACAAACAAAAAAGAACUGAUUGUUUGUUAUACCUGCACCAUUUUACAUCAUUUUGUGUAAAUUUUUGUACACAUUUUUGCGGAAUAGCAAUAAAAAAAAGGGGAAAUGAAUGCCGUGCACGUCAUUGGCCAUGCUAACGUCAUAGUUUGUUCUUUUUUCUCUAUUAUUAGGUUUUACCUAACAUAAUACUCGUUAAAAGUCCCUUUUUUUGCCCUUUUUGGCAACUACAAUGAAUUAGCUAACUAGUGUAUGGUCUUGUUUACGUUUAGCAACAACCAUGGUCCAUUUGCAUAUAUGCAGUAGAAAGAUUGCAAAGAGAAAGAGUCUCUCUGCACUCUCUUUGCUCUACUUCUCAUCACCUAGAUCACAUAAAACGCGAGCGGGAGCGAGAGCGAGAGCGAGAGCAAAUGUAUGAGAGCGUCUUCUGUCAAAAUAUCUUGAGAGCGAGAGCAUCUAUGUUAUACAUUUUUUUAAUCAAAAUAUAGUCAUAUAUUUUGGGAGCGGGAACGGCGAGUCUCGGUAGAAGAAUUAUGUGACCUAGCUCACCACUCUAUCUCUCUCACAACCUUACCCUCCAUUUUAUAUAUCUAAAGAAGGAGAUGGUAGAUCAACAGAAUACUUAAUUGUUAUUAUAGUUUAGCAAAGAAAAUAUAACUUAACUAAAAGACUAACUCAAGAGUUCAAACUAACUCAAUAAUUGUAAUACUCUCGAGAGUUUUAAUUAACUUGAGAAUUCUACUCCCACAUGAAUAAUAUUUUAUGUUCGUUAACUAGGUCUGGACCGGCCCAACAAUAUAUAAGACUUGCCUUAAUCGUGUAAAUAUUCAAAUUUGAGUAUUAUCCAUAUUCGAUUUUGAUGCUUUUUAUUUUAAUACCGACCAUUAUUGAAGAUGCUCUUCCAUUUGUUUGUAGCGUUAAAUAAUUCAACUAGUCCUGAACUGUCAUUAUCUUUCCUUUGUGGUACAUGAACUGUCAUUAUUUUUGCUUAACAUUUAUGGCUACAUACCAGGUAAAGUCGUUGCCAAGGUCAUUGAAAAAUAAUUAAUUUUUGCAAAAGUAAAUGGAUCCAUAACUAGGGUGUCAAAAAAAAUCGCGAAUGCGAAACCGAUCCAAUCCGAAAACUGAUCCGUAGGUUUUUAUUGGGUCCAUGGAUUAAUGGUCUGACAUGGAUGAAAAAAUUAGAAACCGUAAUUCGUGGUUCGUCCAUGGAUUUAUAAGCAAACCGUGGAAUUAACCAGAACCGGACCGUGAGAUUUAAAAGAUAUAAAUGAAUAUAUAAUAUAUAUUAUAGAUAUAUAUAUAUUAUAUAAUAAAUAAAAUAUUUAGGAAAGAAUUUAGAAUUUGUAAUUGUUAACUUAUAUGUUACUUAUUUACUCUAAAUUAUUCAAUGUGUAUAAAAGAAAAAAAAAAGUUAGGGGUAACCAAUGUAAUUUUAUUGUAUUUUUAAAAAACUUGCACUUACAAAAAAUUAGAAGUAAUUUCUAUUUACAAGUGUAACAUAUCUUUUUUGGUUGAUCUGGACUAAACUCAUUAUAAACUACUUUGUAUAAAUUGAUCCAUGAGGUUAUCUAUUACAUUAAAGGUUCAAUUAAUUUAGGGUUUGUCAAUUGGUUCUUUACUGUAUUAUUUAUUUUGAUCGGCUAUUGUAGCUUGUUAUGGUGCUAAACAUGAUUUUAUUUUUUUUAAUUUCGUGGAAUUAUAAUCCGUGGAUUAACCGUUGAUCCGAACCGUAAUUUUUUUAAUUUUUUUGAACCCGAACCGUAGAUUUUUGGUUUGCAACGAUUCUAUUUUCUUAAACCGUAAACUUUUGGUUCGGUCCUUGGAUUCAUACUUAUCGGACCAAUCCGGACCGUGACAUCAUAUCCAUAAACAAUUGGUCCUCCACGUGGAUUGAUAAUACCUGUGCCGAACAGUACAUUUGAUGAAAUAGAUUCUUGCCAAUGUACGUAAAAUUAAAAAAAAAUGUUGGAGUGCAAAAUUGCGCAGGAAUUUGCUCUUGCCCAGAUUUAACUUGCACUCCCAGUAAAAAUGACUUGCAAGUUGCAUCGUCUGGGAGAAGAAAACAAACUCGUUUCCUCAAUAAGGGUAAAAUCGUCCACUAAAUAAUAACAUUCCAUCUGGUUCAUAUUAUUUUGUUGGUACCAUCUCCGUCGAUUUUUUAGUUUUUCAUUCUACAGAUAUGAGAUUAUUCCUCGAUCUUAUUUUAAAUCCCGAGUGCAAUUAUGUUCACUUAAUAUCUUACUAAGUGGAAUAAUAUUACUCAUCUUUUCAUUGGUUUAAUGCCUGAGCUGAACAUUACUCACAUUUUAAUUGAUUUAAAUACUUUGAGACCUACCAUUUUAAUUUCAAUGCUACGAUGCACCAUUUGACAUUUUAAGCGGCAUUUUACCCACAGUUGUACUCGUAACCCUUUUCAUCAAGGCCACCUAUUAAAUCAUCAUUUUGCAGCCUCCCUCCCUCCCCCUACACCACUUGAUCACUCACAAUCUAGGUUAAUUUAAUAAAUAAAAGUUGUUUACUACAAUCUAAAUAGUAGUGGUUAAGAAAAAACAUAUAUUAAAAAGUGUAUUGAAAAAAUAAAUUUGUUAGGCCUAAAAUUUUGUGUAUGACAAAAUAUAUUUUUUUUAUGUAUUUUUUUUUAUGUUAUAGUUUCAGAGUUGAGUGAUUAGUAUGUGAAUCAACUAAUGAUCAAAGAAUUCAAGUCAAAAUACAAUUAUUAAAGCCAAAUGUACAAGUCAAAAGCUGCAUUGAAAAGUUUAUUUAUGAAAGUUUCCAUAUUGGACUUGAAAAGAUAACUUAAAGAGGUUAAGGAGGCUAUAAAUAUACGAGAGAGGUAAUCAUAAUUGAUGGUGAGAGCAAUUUAUAUCAAUCGUUAAUGCUCUCUAUGUACUUGGGAAAGAUUUUUAGAAUUACUCGAGUUUCGUAGUGAUUCAAAAUUUAUCCGAUCAAGGUUGCAAUCCUUUGGACGUACUCAAAAGUUGGUGGAUCUAGGUUCAAUUCGCGGAGAAUUUCAGAGGUGUUGAGGAAUUAACACUCAAUCAUCUAUUGAAGCGUAGAUCGUGGAUUCGAUCGGUAUAGCACAUCCAAAAGUUCGAGAAUUUGACACCUAAGAUGUGGACUCACUUAGGUUGGCUUUGUGAGUUGUAAUUUUUAUUUUGUAUAUUGAAUUGGUUAGUCAGACUUAGUCCCGUGUUUUCUUUUCCUAUUUUGGGAUCAUUACAUAAAAAAUCGUUUGUCUUUUUUUUGUGUGUGUUUGAUUUAUUUUUGCUACUUGUAAUCAUGUGUUUCAUUAAUAAACUUUCGCAAAACGAAUAACUCAGACUUUUGAUUUUACGACAUAUUUUUACUUUAAUACUCUUAAAGAAUUUUUUAAUAUUUCGUGAUUAGUUUAAAUAGUAAAAUUCACUACAUUUUUUUCUGCAUUAUGAUUAACACAUGCAAAUAUGUCGUGCACUACAUGAUUUCGAACAAUGCUCUAAGAACUUCUCUAAUCCAAUUCUUUAUUUUAGAAGAUCAAAAUAAUAUUUUAUAUUCCAAAAAUAAAUAUAAAAGAUCUUAAUAUUCUCUCGAAAUGUAACCUCAAACUUCCAUUUUCAUCUCUAAAAAGUUAUUUUCAAUAUAAACCUUCAAAUUCUCUCUCCAAAUACUUUAAAUUGUUAAUUAGUUAAUAUAAGUUUUUUUAAUUUAUUAAAUAUAUUUAAUAUUCAUACCAUUUUAAAAAUAUGGACGAUAUCUAUUAUCUUUUCACAUGUCAAUUUAUAAUUUAAACACAUAAGUUAUGGGGCGCACACGAUAGGUAGUACCUUCACUAUUAAUUGUAGCAUGCUCAUUAAUAUCUUUGACCUGGUCUAGAUUGGGCCCCUCAUUCUUAUGAGUUUAGCCGCCUUACGUCAUCCUGGUUUCAGCCUCCUUCCACGAAACAAACACUUGUCAAAUGAAGUAAUGAACCACUGGAUUUCCAAAAAAAUUGACUAUACCGGUAAAAUCCAAGCAUUUUAAGUUUAUUUUAAUUAUUUAUAUUAUAAAAUUUAUUAAGAAUUUUAAUACUAUAAAAAUUAUAAUAAUUAGAUAUAAAUUAAUUAUCGAUUAUAAUUAAUUUAUAUCAAAAUAAAUAAGUGUAGUCCUAUGUUAUAUUUAUUUAUUAAGUUAUAAUCUAAGAAAUAUUAAACUAUGCCCGAUCAAUAUAAUUUUUUAUAAUAUUAUUUUUUUUAAUGUAAUCUAUAGUAUUAACAAUUUUUUUUUGGGGGGGAGGGGUUCACAUAAAAAAUCGUGCACGUCUUUUUUUUUUGUGUUUAAUUUUUUUUUACUACUUGCGAUUAUAUUUAUUUCAUUAAUAAGCUUUCAUAAAUUCAUAAAAUGAAUCAACCUAAUUUUUUUAUUUUACAAAUUUUUCUAAGAAGAUCUCCGAUCGAAACAUUUUUUUUAUAGGAUCAAAAUAACAUUUUAUAUUAAAAAAAUAAAUACUAAGUAUCUUACUAUUCCCUCAAAAUCUAACCACAAUCUUCCCAUUUUCAUCUCUAAAAAGUUCUUAUCAAUAUAAACUUUCAAUUUUUUUCUCCAAACACAUUAAAUUGUUAAUUAGGUUAAUUAAUUUUUUUUAAAUUUAUUUAAUAUAUUUAAUAUUACCCCUUUUAAAGAUAUACUAUAUCUUUCCAACAUAUCAAAUUUCUAAUAUUAAUCACUUAUUUAUUAAAAGUCAUAGGUUCAUGGUUAGGACACUUACUAAAUACAUCGUACGCACGCUCAUUAAUAGUUUUGACAUGGCCUACAUUGAGUUCGAUUUCUCCUAAGUUUUUUUUAGUGUAGUGGUCAUAAAGUGUACAAAAUAACGAUAUUUUAUAUAUAUAAGGAUCAAAAUGACAUCGUUUUAAUUAAUUAUAAAACGACGUCGUUUUAUUUUAACAACCAAAACGACAUUGUUUUGAUUUUUAAAUAUAUAAAACGACAUCGUUUUGAAUAAUUUAAGACCACUUUACUAAAAAAAUCUUUCAGAUGAUCCGAAUCCGGCCUAGGCCCAAUUAGUCGCUUCAGAGCCGCCUUACGUCAUCCUGGUUUCAGCCAACACAUACACUAAACAAACACUUGUCAAAUGAACCACUGGAUUUUUAAAAAACAAUAUUAUACCGGUGAGUAUAAGUAUUUUAAAUUUAUUUUAAUUUUUUAAAACGUUUAAAUUGUAAAAUUUAUUGAGAAUUUGAAUAUUGCAAACUAUCACAUUUAUCAUAUACAUAUUAAUUAUCGAUUAAAUGAAUUAUAAUCAAACUAAUACAUAUAAUCUUAAUGUAAAAAUUCAUUUAUUAAGUUAUAAUUGAUUGGGUUGUCAUUGUCAAAUUUCAUUUGGGUCUAUCAUUCUUAUCACAACAGUGAGGUUAUUUUGGUCAAUUCAAAAUUGACACUCCCUUCUAUAAAGUGCGUGCUCUUCUCAUUAUCAUAUACAAAUCAAAGCUAACUUAAUGAAGAUGAAAAUGGCGGGUAUGUUUGGUGUGUGGUUUUGGUACCUAUCCUGGCGACCGACGGAGCCGCCCAGUAUCAGUGGCGGGCGGCAGGCGGGCGGGCGGAUGUCCAAACAAAGUUUGCUGCAAGCAUUGGUGGUUCUGUGGGACCACCCCUGAGUUUUGCUUGCCUUCCAAGGGCUGUCAGAGUAACUGCAAAAAGCGCCUCGUCGGCGGUGGUGAGAGUGCUUCGAACGUGAUGGCUACGUACCAUUACUAUAACCCGGAGCAGGUGGGGUGGGACUUGAGAGCAGUGAGCUCGUACUGCUCCACCGGGGACGCCAACAUGCCCCUCGCCUUGCGCAAAAAGUACGGCUGGGCCGCGUUUCUUGGCUGCCGGCGGUCCUUAACGCCAUGCUCUUUUGGAAAUGCUUGCGGUAAUAAAUUAACACAAUAUAUUUUUAUUAUUUUUAACACUCGUUACAUAAUAUUCACCACAAUUAAUUGUAACAUGAACGUUGUGCAGGUAACAAAUACAGCGACUGGAGCUGAAACAACCGUUCGAAUUGUUGAUCGAUGCAGCAACGGAGGUCUAGACUUGGAUGCUGGUGUGUUUCGAGGACUCGACACAGACGGACAAGGAAAUGCAAGAGGCCAUCUUAUCGUUAACUACCAGUUCGUGAACUGUGGCGAUGGGACGACUUCAGAGGACGAACCUUUAUUUUCCAUUAUGGACGUGGAUGAAUCAUGAUCAACCGUAGUAAUCUAGCUGUUAACGACUUGUAGAAAAAUAAUGUAUAUACCUCCGGACAUCUGUACGUCGGCUUUCAUGUACGUGUCCGGGGUGAAGGAAUAAUAAUCUCUUGUGACUGCUUGUUACUCGGUUCCCAAAACAUCCUUUUGGUUUCGAUAUGAAAUAAAUUGAACUUUUUUUAUUUGAGAUAUUAUUUUUUAUUUUUAAUUAAAAUUAAUUAUUUAAAAAUAUCAUUUAGAUUAAUUUAAAUUUUAUUGGCUAUUUAUACAAAAGUUGUGAUUUUUUUACUUUUUUUAUUUCUGAAUCAAAACAAAUCAGAAAAGAUAAAAUAACUAAAAAAUGAAAAAAGAAAUUACUAAGGAAAAAAAAAAUUCAAAGCAUCAUUGAAUAAAAAAAAUAAAAAAUAACAUUUUCAGUAAAAAUUUAAUGAUAAGGAUAAUUUUAUUUAAUUUUAUAACGUAAAUUAGAAGAUGUAGAAAGUGAAUUAGUCGGUGACAUAAUCAAAAAUAAUUUGACCUAUUUAUUUAUUUUUAAUCCUGUAACCAAGUAAUAUAAGAUUAUUGGGUUAAGUGGAUGAAUCUGAUUCUUUCUCAUUAUUAGAAUUAUAUUUUUAUUGGAAUGAGAGGUAAAGAAUCACGUCAUUAUUCUUCUUGUAAUCUAGAACGUUAAAAUUAUGAGAUACCGAACAUAAACAUUCUAUUUUCUCCCUUAGCCUUGAUAAUUGACAAAUUAAUCAGGCUAGUCUUUCAUUAAUUGAUUGAUUCAAAUAGCUAUUCAAGUACUUCAAAUCUAGCUAGUGGACUUAUUAUAGCAAUUGUACCAUGGAUAUUUGUUUGAGAUCAUUAAUGAUUUAGUCCGGACCUCUAGUAGCUCGAGAAUUUCAAUCUAGGUUGCUCAAGUGAUAGAUGGACUUCAUCUGUUUGGGCCUUAAAAAUAAUAAAAUGGAGGCGGUGGGGGUUUAUAAAGGGUC